rnacentral:lncRNA from 1 species
CUCCGUUCCAUUCCAUUACACUUAUUAAGUCAUUUGGGCGAAGGCGGCUCCUGAAGUGGGGCAUUUUGUUAAUUAUGAUCCCAGACUCUGAACAUUUAACAUGCAUUGCUUGCAGUACGGUUUCGGAAGCAUAAGGACCUUAUCUUUCAUAUCAGCGAGAAAUCGUUAAAAAAAAGGUAAAUUGAUACACACCUUUGUACGGUUAGUGUUCCCACAAGGCCAUAUCUCCACGCUACAGUGCUUGUUUGCUGAAGACAAGAGGCGAACACCUGUGUGUAAACUUAACUCGGGAAGUGUAGUUUCAUCGGAUGGAGGCACCCAUAGUUGUAUGGAUCUGUGCAAAACUGCUACAUACCUGAGGAUCUCUCACUGGAAGAGAGGGAUGAGCUGUCAAACAUCCGGCGGAGGAAGAGAGAGCUGCUGGAUGAUAUUGAGCGCUUGAAGUUUGCGAUAGCUGAAGUCAUGAUGAGAUCGAGCAACUAACGUGUGUAGGAGAGAGGUGGGUGAACAGCCCAUGGUCUCAUUCACUGGUGCUCGCAUUUGCUUUUCACUGUUCUAACUGCAAGACUGAACAAGUAGGUGGUGUGCAGUGCUUUCAAUCAGGUGAUCUGUGCCGAUGCAGUGAUUUCAAUCAGUCUUUGCAGGUGUACCAUACUAAUGUCCUUACCCAAAAGGUGACUGAACUACACUGCUCAAAAAAAUAAAGGGAACACUAAAACAACACAUCCUGAUUUAAACUUUUUUCUUUACAUAGUUGAAUGUGCUGACAAAAAAUCACACACAAAUUAUCAAUGGAAAU